UGUCUCGUUGCCUCGCUAUUAAUUAAUUAUUUGGAUUCGGGCAACACGACUGUACGACUCUCACAACUGUGGAGCGAAACGGGUGCUUCUCGGAGUUGGAAUGAUCAUUCAAGUCUAUGAUCACAUCCAGGUGUGAUUUUUCUUUGAUCUAGAUCCCACUUGCUAGUAGCAACGCAAUAAACAAGGAGGCUUGGCUGCUUAUUGAUGCAACGUCGUGCAAGCAACGAUUAUGCAAACGAUUUCAUUUUCGUCACUCUCUCUGUGCCUCAUCGACGUCAUUCUCUUUGUACAUUUCUUCAUCACCUCUAUUACUGCCGAUGGUAGACAUUUUCAAAAAAAGGAGUCUCUUGCCUGUACGUAAAUGAGGAAUAAAAUCUAUAAUCAGGGCGG